CAACAACAUCAACCGCUGUCACUACACCGUGGAUCGGAACUUCAACAUGGAAUGGAAAUCCGGCAUGGACUGGAAGUAGAACAUGGAACGGAAGUCCAACAUGGGCCGGAAAUACGCAGAUUUGGAAUGGAGAUAAAUCGUUUAAUAGGCCCUUUUAUUACCCACCCUCCUACAAUCCUCUUCAGGGCCAGACUGUCUACUGCUAUCCAAUGAACCAGCCAAUGUAUCGGUCGUUCCUGCCGGUUCCUUACGGUCCUGUUCAAGAGAUCGGCUCUGUAACAGGGGGCUACUGGGACUCUUUAAUGAAGAAAAAAUAAAUACAAGGUCCAGUUGGAUGAGUGAUCGAUGCCAUUUUGUCACGCCCGGCCGGGUUAUCCUUCCAUCCUCUAUAUUGCCACCGUGUCCUUCACCACAAUUACGACUGAUGUGGGGGAUGCUGUUCCAUCACCACAGAGACAGCUCGUCACACCAUCGUUGAUCGACACAUCAUCGUCACUCGUCAUACCAUCGUUACUCGUCCACGUGCUAUAUACUAUAUAUAACCAUUAUAUAACCAUAUAACCACCUUUGACAUUCUAACAUUUUAUAAGAUAUUCUGACAGUAUAUUAUACAGUCAUGAUAUAUCCGUUCAUUUGUGCCAUAUAUUGGUCACAAAGACCUAAAUAUUUUUAUACUUUGUUUAUGGAGUUUUAUCCGUUAAUGCAAGUCUGCUACCAGUAUACGUGUAACAUAUUACAUGGCUAGCAAGUUGUACUUACUGUAUAUUAUCAAUCAUUAUUUUGUAAAUAAAACUGA